AUGAUAUUAAAGCUAAACGAAUGGCCGUCGUUCCAACAUGUUACAGUAGAAGAUACUCUAGAACUGUACAAGGUUAAAAAGGUAACAUGUAGUUUGUCCCAAGGUGUCUGCCUCCUCACCAAGAGCAAGACCUCCACCUCCUCACCCAGAGCCAGACCUCCACCUCCUGUCAGAAGUCCUCCAGAACAGGCCAGUGCUUUGAGCGAGUGGUCUUCUCAGCUCAAAGGCGAGGCUGAGAGGCUGGGGACCGGAGGCUUGUGGUGCCAGGGUGGACCGGAGACUGAGGCUGGAGACCAGGGGCCUGCAGCACCGGACCAGAGGACCAGGACUCUGUCUGAGGAGAGCUGCUGGAGGAGCUGAGACACUGGAGGACGACUAGGAAUCAACCAACAAGUAUUCCUCAACGUGUUUCUGAAGCGGAGGCGAGCUGGUAGGGGAGCCGUGAAUCUGGAGGAUGACCAUCACUCUACCAACAAGGAUUGUAAGUUUGUAUUAACCAAACAAACUGGAAAUAAAGGGCUUAAAAAUAAGACAAACUACAUGUUUGUUACCACACUUUAGGGUGCGCUUUGUUCCAGACCAGGACUCUGGCUGAGGAGAGCUGAUGGAGGAACCAAGACUCUGGAGGACGACAUCACUCCACCAACCAGGAUCCUCGUAAGUUUGCCUGAAAUAAACAGUGGACUUGUUGCAACGCAGGAUUAGUUUGUCCAGUACAAGUUACGGCAUACUAUAGCUGCUACUUUGUUACGCGCCAUUAGAGCCCAACUACUCCUGUGUUUGUGACCUUACAUUAGAGACAAACUACUACUGUGUUUGUUACCUGAUAUUAGAGCAAACUACUCCUGUGUUUGUUACCUUACAUUAGAGCCCAACUACUCCUGUGUUUGUUACCUUACAUUCGAGACAAACUACUACUGUGUUUGUUACCUUACAUUAGAGCCCAACUACUACUGUGUUUGUUACCUGAUAUUAGAGCCCAACUACUCCUGUGUUUGUUCCCUUACAUUAGAGACAAACUACUACUGUGUUUGUUACCUUACAUUAGAGCCCAACUACUACUGUGUUUGUUACCUUACAUUAGAGACAAAUUACGUUUGUAACCAGACCAGGAAUCUGGAGGACUGAUGGAGAAGCCAUACAUCUGGAAGGCAAAUCCUGAGGACAAGCAGGACUCUACCAUCAGGGUUUCCUCAUAAAUGUGCAUUAUCUGGACAUAGUGGACUAGGUAGGGGGUUGGGGGUUCAACUCUCAAACCAAUGGUGCCGGGUUCAAGUCCUCAGAAUACAGUGAUGCGUCCUUGAGCAAGGCGACCUAAAGCCUGCCUGCUCCUUAAUGACUUGUCUUUGGUUCAGAUAAUGUUGCAU
rnacentral:lncRNA from 1 species